AGCUCCAUAAAAUGCCAUAACCUCAGGCAGAAUAUUGGCAUCAACUAUCAUCAAUUGUGUGAACUGUGGGUUUGGAAUUCACAUGGUGCAUCAAAGUGAACUUAUGUCAGUGGGAGCUCUGUGCAGGAUGGCAGCGCAAACACCGGCCUCUAUACAUGAAGUCUGGAUCCACCUCUGCAGGCAGAACACCUUCCUCCCACAGGCCACUAAGGAGUUAGCCUAUUGACAAUAUUUAAAGCCUUGGGACUGGAUGAGAUCACCAAAGGAGAAAAAUGUGGAUGGAGGAGAAGAUGAAGGGUUGAGUUCUGGAGAACUCCAACUUUAAGAGGUCGGGGAUAACAAGAGGAACCAGAAAAUAUAUCUUGCAGAUCACUCCAUAAUAGUACACAGGAAGCAGCAGCAUUCUUUGUAAUGGACACCUCACAUACCAAUUUGUAAAUAUGCCAUAAUUAUUUAAUUAU